UCAAGAUGGCUGCACUUAUGUCAGAGCUAGACUCAAGGUGGGUAUAGUCUUGUUUUUCUUGGCCUCCACACCAUUAUGUAUUUUACUAUUUCA